GUCUUUGAUGAUGAUCAAAAGAAUAAUUUUCAUUCUUCCGAGGGUUUUGGUGAUGAUCACCAUCCAUGUGGAAAAGCUAAUGGAGAUCUGAACUGAGGAGAC